rnacentral:lncRNA from 1 species
AGCAUAUUACAUAAAAGCUAUUAAAUACACUUCAUAAAAAGUUACUAUAUUAAUAUAAAUUAACAAUACAUUCAACAGGAUCCAAAAUAUAUAACAUAAUGCCUAUAACGGUAUCAUUAAGUACAAAAAAGCCACAAGGACCAACAAUAAAGUCCAAACAAAAAUAGGCUAACUAUGCGAGGCUGGAGAGUUACGGUCAUCAUCAGAACCCAAUGCAUGAACCUCAUCAAUGUUAGCAGCAGUAGAAGAUGUAGGGACUGUAGGUACCACAUCUAAUGGGUGGUUGGUAAGAUCAGUAUUUGGCUGAUGUGAGGGUACGGGAAUUACCACAUCUAAUGGGUGGUUGGUAAGAUCAGUAUUUGGCUGAUGUGAGGGUACGGAAACUAAUUCCCGUACCCGCUCAACGAUUACAGGAAUUAUAUGAUCUGUCAGUGCAGGAAUUAAUCGCAUCACUAACUCAUCCAGAUUCCCUGUCGGUGUUGAUUGAGCAUUUGGAGGUGUUGUUGACGAUGUAGCAUCAGAUCCAAAAGAGCCAUGAAGAUUUGGCCCGUAGUAGCAUUUUGCUUGAGAUCCAAGACCAUAUACUCUUCUUUUCUUUUCUCCUCCCGCGGCUUGAUAAUAUGCUUUACACUGAUCAAUAUCAGAUUGAGUCUGUGUUUGUUGUUGUAAUAUCUCCUGAUAUUUUUCCUGUAGAAGAGUUAAUAAUUAGUGAAAUAGAAAGACUAAAGAAUAUUGAGUAU